rnacentral:rRNA from 1 species
CGGAGGGUGCAAGCGUUAUCCGGAUUCACUGGGUUUAAAGGGUGCGUAGGUGGGUUGGUAAGUCAGUGGUGAAAUCUCCGAGCUUAACUUGGAAACUGCCAUUGAUACUAUCAAUCUUGAAUAUUGUGGAGGUCAGCGGAAUAUGUCAUGUAGCGGUGAAAUGCUUAGAGAUGACAUAGAACACCAAUUGCGAAGGCAGCUGGCUACACAUAUAUUGACACUGAGGCACGAAAGCGUGGGGAUCAAACAGGAUUAGAUACCCUGGUAGUCCACGCCCUAAACUAUGGAUACUCGACAUACGCGAUACACUGUGUGUGUCUGAGCGAAAGCAUUAAGUAUCCCACCUGGGAAGUACGAUCGCAAGAUUG